rnacentral:rRNA from 1 species
ACGCUGGCGGCAGGCUUAACACAUGCAAGUCGAGCGGUAACAGGGGGAGCUUGCUCCCCGCUGACGAGCGGCGGACGGGUGAGUAAUGCUUAGGAAUCUGCCCAGUAGUGGGGGAUAGCCCGGGGAAACCCGGAUUAAUACCGCAUACGCCCUUUGGGGGAAAGCAGGGGAUCUUCGGACCUUGCGCUAUUGGAUGAGCCUAAGUCGGAUUAGCUAGUUGGUGGGGUAAAGGCCCACCAAGGCGACGAUCCGUAGCUGGUCUGAGAGGAUGAUCAGCCACAUCGGGACUGAGACACGGCCCGAACUCCUACGGGAGGCAGCAGUGGGGAAUAUUGGACAAUGGGGGCAACCCUGAUCCAGCCAUGCCGCGUGUGUGAAGAAGGCUUUCGGGUUGUAAAGCACUUUCAGUGAGGAGGAAGGCUUUCAGAUUAAUACUCUGGAAGAUUGACGUUACUCACAGAAGAAGCACCGGCUAACUCCGUGCCAGCAGCCGCGGUAAUACGGAGGGUGCAAGCGUUAAUCGGAAUUACUGGGCGUAAAGCGCGCGUAGGUGGUUUGAUAAGCGAGAUGUGAAAGCCCCGGGCUUAACCUGGGAACGGC